CCUGAAGGACUUUCACAAUUUCUUCCUGCAAUUUCAAAAUCUUCAAAUCUGCAUCAAUGCGCAUAAUCUUUGUCUCAGAACUAGCAUUUUUACCUGCUGCCAUGGCAGCAAUCCUCGAGAGAUUCAAAAGACGCUUUCUGUCUGCUAGUGUUGUUAUCAAGCCAGUGUGCUCAGGGUCUUCACCCUCUUCAGCUUCUGAACAAGAGUGUUCAUCUUGAGAAACAGCCAAAACAUGAAGAGUUUCAGAAGCUGAGGAAAACUGAUGAAGGAACAACUCAUGAAGCCAAAGUAGAUCCUGAUGAUGCUUUAGAAAAAUAGAUAACUCUUCUUGAAACUCCUCCCCAAGCCUUAGAAGCUUGGAAAAU
rnacentral:misc_RNA from 1 species